UGGGGAAUUUUGCGCAAUGACCGAAAGGUUGACGCAGCAACGCCGCGUGUAUGAUGAAGGCUUUCGGGUCGUAAAGUACUUUCAGUGGGGAAGAACUGCAUAAUCAGUAACUGGGUUAUGAUUGACGGUACCCACAGAAGCAGCCCCGGCUAACUCCGUGCCAGCAGCCGCGGUAAUACGGAGGGGGCAAGCGUUAUUCGGAAUUACUGGGUUUAAAGGGUGCGUAGGCGGUUAAAUAAGUUGUCAGUGAAAGGCUACGGCUCAACUGUAGUAGUGCUGGCGAUACUGUAUAACUAAGAACAUGGGAGGGGUACCUGGAAUGUGUGGUGUAGCGGUGAAAUGCGUAGAUAUCACACAGAACACCGGAGGCGAAGGCGGGGUACUAGACCAUAGUUGACGCUGAGGCACGAAAGCGUGGGGAUCAAACA
rnacentral:rRNA from 1 species